GACGAACGCUGGCGGCGUGCUUAACACAUGCAAGUCGAGCGGAAAGGCCACUUCGGUGGUACUCGAGCGGCGAACGGGUGAGUAACACGUGAGUAAUCUGCCCUUGGCUUUGGGAUAGCCACCGGAAACGGUGAUUAAUACCGGAUACGACCACUUCUCGCAUGGGAUGGUAGUGGAAAGUUUUUCGGCCAGGGAUGUGCUCGCGGCCUAUCAGCUUGAUGGUGAGGUAAUGGCUCACCAUGGCUUCGACGGGUAGCCGGCCUGAGAGGGUGACCGGUCACACUGGGACUGAGACACGGCCCAGACUCCUACGGGAGGCAGCAGUGGGGAAUAUUGGACAAUGGGCGGAAGCCUGAUCCAGCAACGCCGCGUGAGGGAUGACGGCCUUCGGGUUGUAAACCUCUUUCGGUGGGGACGAAGCGCAAGUGACGGUACCCACUAAAGAAGCACCGGCCAACUACGUGCCAGCAGCCGCAGUAA
rnacentral:rRNA from 1 species